AACUUUCAACAACGGAUCUCUUGGCUCUCGCAUCGAUGAAGAACGCAGCGAAAUGCGAUAAGUAAUGUGAAUUGCAGAAUUCAGUGAAUCCUCGAAUCUUUGAACGCACCUUGCACCCUUUGGCAUUCUGAAGGGUAUGCUCGUUUGAGUGUCAUUGUACUCGCACACUCCCGAUCUUUGUAUUGGGAGCGGUGGACUUGGGUUUGCUGCUUCACCGCAGCUUACCUCAAAUACGUUAGUGCAACUCUUGGUUGGACAUAAUACGGCGUGAUAAGUGUUCUUUUCGCCGGUGCCUCGCAAAGAGGGUGGCCGAUCGGGUGGUUGUGCUCCAAACCGUCCGUCUUUGGACAAUGUCUGACAACUUGACCUCAAAUCGAGUAAGACUACCCGCUGAACUUAAGCAUAUCAAUAAGCGGAGGCU
rnacentral:misc_RNA from 1 species